CCUACGGGUGGCAGCCGUGAGGAAUAUUGGUCAAUGGCCGUAAGGCUGAACCAGCCAAGUAGCGUGAGGGAAGACUGCCCUAUGGGUUGUAAACCUCUUUUAUGAGGGGCUCAAGGUGUCCACGUGUGGAUGUUUGCAGGUACCGCAUGAAUAAGGACCGGCCAAUUCCGUGCCAGCAGCCGCGGUCAUACGGAAGGUGCGGGCGUGAUCCGGAUUUAUUGGGUUUAAAGGGAGCGUAGGCCGGUGUUUAAGCGGGCCGUGAAGGUUUGUGGCUCAACCAUGAGAGUGCGGCGCGAACUGGAGACCAUGAGUGAGCGGAGGGCAAGCCGAAGUCGUGGUGUAGCAGGGAAAUGCUUAGAUAUCACGAAGAACCCCGAUGGCGGAGGAA
rnacentral:rRNA from 1 species